AAACCUUAAUUUACAAUUCCGAACGGAGUUUUUCGCCCACUCUCCUUGUCACGUUAUGUCGCUGAUUCGGAGCACUUUUCGGAGGAUCUUCUUCCGGAGUAAUGUUUGUGAGGGGAGAAGGAGACGCCUGAUGCCUACAUGUACAUGUACAUGGCGGAGGUGCCAGGUGUAGAGGCAGAGGAUUUGACAAUUGAGGUAAGGGUACUUUUGUGCGGAUCUACGGUGAGCAGAGUUGGUGCGAUGAAGAGGCUACUACCUGGUAUCUUCUAGAAGAGGAUAGCAGCAACAGAAAACUUUUCACAGAGUUCUGGCUGCCAAUUUGGAUGCAGGCUUCCUCAAUCUUUCUGUCCCCAGAGGCAAAAGUAAUGUGAAGUUUAUCGCCAUCCCCGUUCAUAUGGCGUGAUUAGGUAACGAUUUUGACUUGGAAAUUUUCAUUUGAAUGAACUUCAAUUGUUACUUCAUUUUUUUGUUAUUGGUAACUUGUGCAUGAUAUCUCUCGGAUUUGUAUAUGUUCAUAUAAUGUUUUAGCA